ACGUAGGUGGCGAGCGUUACUCGGAAUUACUAGGCGUAAAGCGAGUGUAGGCGGGAGUGUAAGUCCGCUGUUAAAUCUCACGGCUCAACCGUGAACAGCCGGCGGAUACUGUGCUUCUUGAAUUCGGUAGAGGAAACUGGAAUUCCAGGUGUAGCGGUGAAAUGCGUAGAUAUCUGGAAGAACGCCAAAGGCGAAGGCAGGUUUCUGGGCCGCAAUUGACGCUGAGACUCGAAAGCUAGGGGAGCAAACAGGAUUAGAUACCCUGGUAGUCCUAGCCGUAAACGAUGUAGACCAGGUGUGGGAGGUAUCGACCCCUUCCGUGCCGACGCUAACGCAUUAAGUCUACCGCCUGGGGAGUACGGCCGCAAGGUUA
rnacentral:rRNA from 1 species